CACUGUUGAAAAUAUUACCCAGAAUGCAUUAGAUUCUGAAACUGCAAAUUGCUUUCUACAGUUUUUUCUUUCUUUUUUCAUAUUGGGUUCUUUAAUUUACACAAAAAAUUGUUUGAACAAGAAAUUGUUUUUACGAUUGUUGAACAAACUCAGUACAUAGAAGUAGAAAGCCAGUUGAAGUAAAUAAACAAAUAAACAGACAAAACAUAAAAAUCUUUUUUUUU
rnacentral:lncRNA from 1 species